GUUGUACUUCCUCCGUUCCGAAUUAUUUGUCUUAGAUUUAUCUAGAUACGGAGGUAUCUAGCACUAAAAUGAGUCUAGAUACAUCCGUAUCUAGACAAAUCCAAGACAAGUAAUUCGGAACGGAGGGAGUAGCAU
rfam:Triticum aestivum genome assembly, contig: Triticum_aestivum_CS42_TGACv1_scaffold_514755_6BS